rnacentral:lncRNA from 1 species
GACCCUCUACACAGCAUCCGGCUCUUUGUAGAAAAUCCGGGCGAAGGCAUUUGACAUCGGAGGUCGUUCCAGAUAAUAGCUCCCAGAUGUAAGGCAGUUCUCAGACCCAGAGUGCACUGAUUGGAGGAGACAAAGUAUCUGACAAUGGCACCGGGGCCGACUUGUCUACAAUUACAGUGGAAUGUCCAACCAGCAAGAAACAGAGACUACUGGCUACCUGACCCCAACGUGGCGCAUCUGUUCCCAGCAGCCACUGGACCUCUGAACACCAACCCUAUGAACCUCCAUCAAGUGGAUGAUGCUUUUCCCACUGGCUGUGAAGACACGGCCCAAGGCUGCGCAGUCACACGGCUGAUGUCCCUGGAGGGCUCUUGUCCAGAGUAUCCAGGAAAUGCUUCAAACCUCGGGGGAACUUUUCCAGAAGACGAGCUUUGGGAAGCCCGUAAGGAAUCGUUUUCUUUUCCAUCAUUCUGGGGCUGACGCAGUCAACAAUAACGAAGUGAUGGCAGAGCCCCACCGCUGCGGUACCAAUUUCACGAAGGCACCGAGAGUGCAUCACGAUGCAUGUUUUGAAUCGUAUCUGACUGGUGGCUCUGUUAUUCCGAGCGCCGUGCUAAUAAGGCAAGUUUGGUUUCGAUGUGUUCCAUUUUUACAUCUUCAUAACUUCAUAUCAUAAGUCCCAAACAGUCUUCUCAAA